AAUAACCAAAAAUAACACUUAGGCUAAGGGUCAAGUUGGUAAUUUUUCUUACAUCUCCCCCCCUCGGAGCCCAGGUAUCAUAUACACCCCCAAAAUAAAAGGCUUUGAAUACUAGAAGAACAACACCUAUACCUAGCAAGAUUAAGUGAAUACCUAAAAUUGUUGUCAUUUUAUUUCUAUCUUUCCA
rfam:Populus trichocarpa isolate Nisqually-1 chromosome 8, whole genome shotgun sequence.